UCCCUGGUGACUCAGUGGUAAAGAACCUGCCUGCCAAUGCAGGAGACACAGGUUCCAUCCCUGGUCCGGGAA
rnacentral:tRNA from 1 species